rnacentral:rRNA from 1 species
UACGAAGGGGGCUAGCGUUGCUCGGAAUCACUGGGCGUAAAGGGCGCGUAGGCGGCUUUAUAAGUCGGGGGUGAAAGCCUGUGGCUCAACCACAGAAUUGCCUUCGAUACUGUAGAGCUUGAGACCGGAAGAGGUAAGUGGAACUGCGAGUGUAGAGGUGAAAUUCGUAGAUAUUCGCAAGAACACCGGUGGCGAAGGCGGCGACCUGGUCCGAUACUGACGCUGAGGCGCGAAAGCGUGGGGAGCAAACAGG